GGGUUAUUAGCUCAGUUGGUAGAGCAGUUGACUUUUAAUCAAUUGGUCGAUGGUUCAAAUCCAUCAUANACCCACCA
rnacentral:tRNA from 1 species